rnacentral:rRNA from 1 species
AGCGAACGCUGGCGGCAGGCCUAACACAUGCAAGUCGAACGGCAGCACAGAGGAGCUUGCUCCUUGGGUGGCGAGUGGCGGACGGGUGAGGAAUACAUCGGAAUCUACUCUGUCGUGGGGGAUAACGUAGGGAAACUUACGCUAAUACCGCAUACGACCUACGGGUGAAAGCAGGGGAUCUUCGGACCUUGCGCGAUUGAAUGAGCCGAUGUCGGAUUAGCUAGUUGGCGGGGUAAAGGCCCACCAAGGCGACGAUCCGUAGCUGGUCUGAGAGAAUGAUCAGCCACACUGGAACGGAGACACGGUCCAGACUCCUACGGGAGGCAGCAGUGGGGAAUGUUGGACAAUGGGCGCAAGCCUGAUCCAGCCAUACCGCGUGGGUGAAGAAGGCCUUCGGGUUGUAAAGCCCUUUUGUUGGGAAAGAAAUCCAUCUGGUUAAUACCCGGGUGGGAUGACGGUACCCAAAGAAUAAGCACCGGCUAACUUCGUGCCAGCAGCCGCCGUAA